rnacentral:lncRNA from 1 species
GUGGAAUAGCUCUUGUGCAAACAGAGUAUAAUAAUUGAUGCCUAUUUACACUUAGACAUGUCAGCUUCACCAGCGGAAGAUCGCCCCCGUAUCAUGAGGUCGCAGCACUUUUGGAGAUAAGGAAGAUGUGAGGGUGAGGGGCUGUGGCUGCCCUGUCCACUCUCGGGGGUACAGUUGACACACCCACUGCCAGCUCUGCAGAUGCUGGAUCCUGGUAGUACCAGGCUUUAAGAGACUUUAGGCGAUUAGCUCCUGUCUUCACACACUUGGAUUCAGUCGUCCAGGCCACACAGACCUCAAAGAUGGCGGAAGACACAUAGUGUCAGAGGUUGGAAGGGCUUCUCAUCUUCUUUGUACAGUGACAUCACUGAGGAAUGUUCUUCGCAGCAAUGGCGGCUGUGCUGUCCUGCCCUCCACCUCCCCAUCUCCAAGCAUCCAGUCCAGGGCAGCAGUCUGAGGGCAUCAUAGGCCUCCUUCUAGCUCUCCAUCUCUGGCUAACAUCAGGAGAAAGCAGAACCCGGUGUCUCCAAACCUGGAUUAGCAUGGCCGUGUGAGGAGGCAGGAGAGAAACCAUUUCACCUAGGAACCACAUGGAUUGAAAAUUGUAAAGUCACACUCAUGAAACCCCAUGAAAGCAGAACCACCAUUCUCCCUGUAUACCGUUCCGCAUCUGGACUGUGCUCGGUGCUGCCCAGUGAUGACAGGGAAGCCUGGCAACUCAUCAAAUGACAAGCAAGUGGACACCGUAAACUCUGACGUUAUGCAAUGCUCAUAAUCUCCCCUGAGAUGACAUCUAUUAAAAGCUGCUUGAUACCAGAGUAUUUUUAUGAAGAAUACAAAAAAGUGGACAUAAGUAAAACAUUUGAGGACUGUAACCUGUUGAGACUGCUACUCUUACCAUGUGAACUUGAGAGAAUCAGAUUGUUUCCAUUUCCUGACUUCUAGGUAGAGGGGUAUUUGAAACUGCCAAAUGUUUCAAAGGUCAUUAUCAAGGGAUUAAUAAAGUAAAAUUUAAAAUUCCUUAGAUCUUGAAG